UACGGGGGGAGCAAGCGUUGUUCGGAUUUACUGGGCGUAAAGGGCUCGUAGGCGGCCAACUAAGUCAGACGUGAAAUCCCUCGGCUUAACCGGGGAACUGCGUCUGAUACUGGAUGGCUUGAGUUUGGGGAGAGGGAUGCGGAAUUCCUGGUGUAGCGGUGAAAUGCGCAGAUAUCAGGAGGAACACCGGUGGCGAAGGCGGUUCUCUGGGCAUUACCUGACGCUGAGGAGCGAAAGUGUGGGGAGCGAACAGG
rnacentral:rRNA from 1 species